rnacentral:rRNA from 1 species
UGGGGAAUAUUGGACAAUGGGCGCAAGCCUGAUCCAGCCAUGCCGCGUGAGUGAUGAAGGCCUUCGGGUUGUAAAGCUCUUUCGCACGCGACGAUGAUGACGGUAGCGUGAGAAGAAGCCCCGGCUAACUUCGUGCCAGCAGCCGCGGUAAUACGAAGGGGGCUAGCGUUGUUCGGAAUUACUGGGCGUAAAGGGCGCGUAGGCGGCUUAUCAAGUCAGGCGUGAAAGCCCCGGGCUUAACCUGGGAACUGCGCUUGAGACUGUUAGGCUUGAGUUUCGGAGAGGUAGGUGGAAUUCCCAGUGUAGAGGUGAAAUUCGUAGAUAUUGGGAAGAACACCGGUGGCGAAGGCGGCCUACUGGACGAAUACUGACGCUGAGGCGCGAA